UUGGAUCUCUAAUUACAGCAGCCUACUUACCACAUUUCACUUCCCAAUUUCUCUCAUCAAGCAAACCCAAAACUAUACUGUCCAAGCAAUAAGAUUGGUAGAGAUUAGAGAUUACCUUGUCAACAAAAAUCUUCAGAGAUAACAAGCUCAAACUGACCAUUUCCUUUCUUGACUUUCACUGGCAGAUGAAACUGCAGCAUCCGGUUCGGAGAUUCCAACUUGGGUUUUUGCUGGCUUCUUCUACACUUACUAUGCACUGAAUCGAGGGGUGCCUAGGUGAGAUGAAAGAGAAACCG
rnacentral:lncRNA from 1 species